UACGUAGGGCGCAAGCGUUGUCCGGAAUCAUUGGGCGUAAGGAGCUCGUAGGUGGUCUGUUACGUCUGCUGUGAAAACCUAGGGCUUAACCCUGGGCCUGCAGUGGAUACGGGCAGACUAGAGGUAGGUAGGGGAGAAUGGAAUUCCCGGUGUAGCGGUGAAAUGCGCAGAUAUCGGGAGGAACACCGGUGGCGAAGGCGGUUCUCUGGGCCUUACCUGACACUGAGGAGCGAAAGCGUGGGGAGCGAACAGG
rnacentral:rRNA from 1 species